GGAUUCGUCUCCUCUUUCCCAUCCCAUCGUUGUUGUCCGAGCAAACGAAAAAGAAACCCUAAUUUUUUUCCCGACUUUUCCUUUAUAAACAAACCCUAAAUUUCGCAUCUCCUUUCUCUCUCUCUCUCUCUCUCUCUCUCUAGAAAUUUCCCUUUAUCUACUACUCAAUUUGGGAUUUGGGAACUUCUAAAUCCUCUCAAUCACUUAUCCUCUCCCAUAACUCCCUAAGUUUUCCUUUUAUUUUUUUGAUAAAUGGUAGGAGAAAUUGGAGGAAUUGGGGGAAUUGGGGUGGAUUAGGGCUCAAAAUUGCUUGUUUUGGGCGUAAAUCGAAGCUUAGAAGCGAUGGUGAAGGUAACAGUGGUGAUGUCCGUGUCAUUUUUAGGGUAAAGAUGGGAGCUUUUUUCCAAAGUUUCAGAUCCAUGGCUAAUAUCCCCCAAAUUUGGGUGUUUUCCGAAUGUGGCGGUAGCACCUGAUUCAUUUGUAGGUACAGGGAUUUGAUUCUAGUGUUUGGGAGUGUUGGGAGGUUUGGGAAUCGAAUCGUGAAAUGUCGUUUAGGAGUAUAAUUCAGGAUAUGAGGGAUGAGAUUGGGAAUAUCUCGAGGAAGGGGAUCGAGGUGAAGAUCGGGUACGGGUUGCGAUCGCGGUCGCAUCGGGCGGUGGUGGCGAAUGCGCCGCCGCCGCCGCCUGUAGAUGCCCUGGGGCAGAGCUGCUGGGCGAGCAUGCCGCCGGAGCUCCUCCGUGACGUGCUGGUGAGAAUUGAGGAAUCGGAGGGCGCGUGGCCGCCCCGCAGGGAUGUGGCAGCGUGCGCGGGGGUUUGCCGGAGCUGGCGCGAUAUCAUGAAGGAGAUUGUGAAGACCCCCGAGGUCUCCGGGAAGUUGACCUUCCCCAUCUCCUUGAAGCAGCCUGGGCCUAGGGACUUUCCACUCCAGUGUUUCAUAAAAAGGAACCGAGCUACACAAACAUACUAUCUUUACCUUGGUCUGACCCAAGCAUUGACAGAUGAUGGCAAAUUCCUUCUUGCUGCACGCAAGUGCCGACGUCCUACAUGUACCGACUAUCUCAUUUCUCUUGAUGUGGAUGACAUGUCGAAGGGAAGUAGUACUUACAUUGGGAAGCUAAGAUCGAACUUUUUUGGAACCAAAUUUACAGUCUAUGACGCUCAGCCUCCGUAUGAUGGAGCUAUAAUUGCAAAAUGCCGGUCCACACGUGUGGUUGGUUCCAAGCAAGUCUCCCCUAGGAUUCCAGCUGGAAACUACCCUGUCGCACACAUUUCUUAUGAGUUGAAUGUGUUGGGUUCAAGAGGUCCUAGAAGGAUGCACUGCGUGGUGGACUCAAUCCCAGCCUCUGCAAUCGAACCGGGAGGUUCGGCGCCGACACAAACAGAGUUCCCUCUUAACAGUCUCGACUCUUUCCCCUCUAUUCCAUUCUUCCGAUCCAAGUCAGCCCGCAUAGAAAACUUACCAUCGCCAUUUUCCGGUCAAAAGGAGGCGAAAUUAGUUCUGAAGAACAAAGCUCCGAGGUGGCACGAGCAACUUCAAUGCUGGUGUCUUAAUUUCAGGGGAAGGGUGACGGUUGCUUCCGUAAAGAAUUUCCAGUUGGUGGCCUCGGAAGAGAACGGCCCUGCUAGUCAGGAGGAGGAGAAGGUGAUCCUCCAGUUCGGAAAGGUGGGGAAGGACUUGUUCACCAUGGAUUACCGCUAUCCCAUAUCGGCAUUUCAGGCAUUCGCUCUCUGCCUCAGUAGUUUUGACACCAAAAUAGCCUGUGAAUAAAUUGAGGACUUCAUCGUGGCAACAAUCAUCAACACCAAAAAUGUCUUUUCGGUUUUUCUCAUCAUGUUUUGUUGGCUGAAAACCCAGGUGUAAAGUCAGAAAAUGAUUUCAGAAGUUUUUUCAUGUCUCAGGGAUUAUUUAGCUGUGGGAUUAUUAUAGACACUUUGUUCUGAUGUGCUUCGAAAUGCUGGGCCAUCUAAAUAAACCUCAGAUGCGAAUCGACGGCUUUAGGUCUUUUGCGGAAAUGGAAGAGUUUGUCCAGCUUAAGCUCUUGUAUCUGUAGAAUUCAGUGUAUGGUGUACAUAAACUGUUCUCAAAUUGUGCUAAUUCCCGGUUGUGCUCCACAGCCUCUUCUGUGUCAUUCAUCUGUGGGAAAAGCGAACAUUGGAUUUAAUUUACUAAGCUUAACUUGUUUCUAGUGAGAUCGCGCCAUUGAAUUCGAUGACAUUUUUGUUCUUUUUUUAUUUAAUUGUGGUGGAGGUGCUGUUUUAACUUGCUUGUAAUUCUGUGUACAUUUGCUGUGUUGUAAUCAGAUGGUUCAGAUUUAUUGAAGGCUCUUGAUUUGAGGAGUGUGACUGUAAUAAA